rnacentral:lncRNA from 1 species
ACUCUUCUCUACACAAUUUUGCUGCUGCUACUCCAGGUAGACUGACAGAGAUGCCAAUUUGUCUUCCCGGGCUAAACAUUUCUUCUCGGUUUUGUCUGCAGAUACGGAAGGGACUGCGUCGAGCCUGCAAUCAAACCUGGAGAAACAGUUCUGGUAACAUGAGCUACUAUUAAUUUUGAUUGUGUGGAUGCAUUUGAAAUUGCAGACGUAAUGCAAAUUCAACAUCUUUUGCAUUUGUGUCUUCAGGUUGCUAUAAAGGGAGUUACCUGGCUGCUGCAGAAAUUUCCUCAACUGGCUGACCAAUUCUGAUGUAACUAUAACGCUCUUGCUUGAUGACGUG